rnacentral:lncRNA from 1 species
CCACUUUUCUGAUUUUAGGCACAUGUAUGCCGUGCUUCAUCUUCUAGAUACUCAACACAUUUCUUUUUCUUUCAUACGUGGCACUAGAUCCACACUUUCAGGACCAGCAUGUGCCACGCCACUGCCCCUGAACAUUCUUAAAUUCAUGGCAGCCUCCUUGUAAACGUUACUUUGGAAUUAAAUGAGAAAUUUAUUUGCUGAUGCAUUCUUUCCAGCUUGGGAAAACUCUACCAAAGUCACCCACCGAGCCUUGUUUCCCUUCCACUAGCUUUCUUCCUCUAGAAGACCGUCUGAGCUAGAUACUGCCACACCAUAGGCUCAUCCCUCCAUCACUGAAUCACCGUGCCUAUCGUUUUUGCAUCACGCUGCUUCUAUACUUUCGGAUCCUUCAUCCACCGUUGACACAUUCCAUCGAAAGCCACUUCAUGCUUGUUCUUCCCUCUACAACUUCCUUCCUUGUAUGGAAGGCUGCCUGAGUUGUAGCCACUGCAUCUAAGCACCUCCUCCACUCCAAACAGCCACUGAACAUCAUCUUCUCCACUGCCAAUUUUCCCAUGUUUCCGCUGCC